GCCAGGUUCCGGCGGGCUAUAAUGCAGUCGAGCGGACAGAUGGGAGCUUGCUCCCUGAUGUUAGCGGCGGACGGGUGAGUAACACGUGGGUAACCUGCCUGUAAGACUGGGAUAACUCCGGGAAACCGGGGCUAAUACCGGAUGCUUGUUUGAACCGCAUGGUUCAAACAUAAAAGGUGGCUUCGGCUACCACUUACAGAUGGACCCGCGGCGCAUUAGCUAGUUGGUGAGGUAACGGCUCACCAAGGCGACGAUGCGUAGCCGACCUGAGAGGGUGAUCGGCCACACUGGGACUGAGACACGGCCCAGACUCCUACGGGAGGCAGCAGUAGGGAAUCUUCCGCAAUGGACGAAAGUCUGACGGAGCAACGCCGCGUGAGUGAUGAAGGUUUUCGGAUCGUAAAGCUCUGUUGUUAGGGAAGAACAAGUGCCGUUCAAAUAGGGCGGCACCUUGACGGUACCUAACCAGAAAGCCACGGCUAACUACGUGCCAGCAGCCGCGGUAAUACGUAGGUGGCAAGCGUUGUCCGGAAUUAUUGGGCGUAAAGGGCUCGCAGGCGGUUUCUUAAGUCUGAUGUGAAAGCCCCCGGCUCAACCGGGGAGGGUCAUUGGAAACUGGGGAACUUGAGUGCAGAAGAGGAGAGUGGAAUUCCACGUGUAGCGGUGAAAUGCGUAGAGAUGUGGAGGAACACCAGUGGCGAAAGGCGACUCUCUGGUCUGUAACUGACGCUGAGGAGCGAAAGCGUGGGGAGCGAACAGGAUUAGUACUCUGCUGGGGGUUGGUCUCACCA
rnacentral:rRNA from 1 species